GUGGGGGUGUGUAUGAGGUGGUGGUGUGUAUGAGAUGGUGGUGUGUAUGAGGUGGUGGUGUGUAUGAGGUGGUGGUGUGUAUGAGGUGGGGGUGUGUAUGAGGUGGUGGUGUGUAUGAGGUGGUGGUGUGUAUGAGGUGGUGGUGUGUAUGGGGUGUUGUGUAUGAGGUGGUGAUGUGUAUGAGAUGGUGUUGUGUAUGAGGUAAGGGUGUGUAUGAGGUGGUGAUGUGUAUGAGAUGGUGUUGUGUAUGAGGUAAGGGUGUGUAUGAGGUGGUGGUGUGUAUGAGGUGGUGGUGUGUAUGAGGUGGUGGUGUGUAUGGGAUGGUGUGUAUGAGGUAAUGGUGUGUAUGAGGUAAUGGUGUAUAUGAGGUGGUGGUGUGUCUGAGGUGGUGGUGUGUCUGAGGUAAUGGUGUACAUGAGGUGGGGGUGUAUAUGAGGUGGUGGUGUGUAUGAGGUGGGGGUGUGUAUGGGGUGUUGUGUAUGAGGUGGUGGUGUGUAUGAGGUGGGGGUGUGUAUGCGAUGGUGUGUAUGAGGUGGUGGUGUGUAUGGGAUGGUGUGUAUGAGGUGGUGGUGUGUAUGAAGUGGUGGUGUGUAUGAGGUAAUGGUGUGUAUGAGGUAAGGGUGUAUAUGAGGUGGGGGUGUCUAUGAGGUGGUGGUGUGUAUGAGGUGGGGGUGUGUAUGAGGUGGGGGUGUGUAUGAGGUGGUGGUGUGUAUGAGGUAAUGGUGUGUAUGAGGUAAUGGU
ensembl:lncRNA